AUGCUGGGAAGUUGUUAGGGCUAUAAGAACUGAAGCAGCAAGUUAACUUAGAUCACCUGAGAAGCAGAGGAGUAGUGGAGGGCGUCAGAUGGGAUCUGAUAGCACUGAUGGCAAACUUGACUUCCAGAUGUCAGAGGAAGAAGAUUCUUUCCUAAAUGUCAAAAGAUCUCUGAAAAAGCGACUGGUGAAACACAGCACUCCAGUGGACUCAAUGCUCUCCAGAACAAUGCCGUCUCUUACAGAUCUGACUUAUCAGUCAAUCAAGGAUCAAGAUGGCAGUAAGAGAGUUAACGUAUCCCCAGUGCAAAAAUCAGCUCUAAGCAGAUCAUUAGCUCAAGUGUCGCUAGCAAGUAUUGAAGCAUACAUCCCUCAUAAGUCUCCAAAAAGGCUUUCAACAGCGUUUGACUUGCAAGAUUCAAACAAGGAGAUAAACAAAAGUUCUCGGGUUGUAUUUUCUAGAAGAAGGCUUUCCACUGUGUUGGCCUCUAAUGAGUCAAAUGAAGAACCAAGUGAAAAGGCUAUCUCAAGUGUGGAAACUCAAGCUCCAACAAAUGCAUCUGAGAAGGUUGCAGUAACUCCCAGGAGUGGACCUUCAUGGCUGGUUACUGGAAUACCAGGGAUAAAAGAUGUCCAAAUAGUAAAAAAGAAAAAGAAGAAAAUUGAUAAAUCUAUUGUGAGAAAGAAACAAAGAGAAUGGGUGCUUCGUCAACUCAAAAACAUUGAGGAAGCAGCUGAGCAUGAGCUGACAAUUGAAGAAAUGUGACCAAAUAUCUUUGGAAUUAAUGCUGUUGCAUGGUACUUGUGUGAAUAACUGGUUCCAAUAAAUCACAUGCCUGGAUAAUCUGUAGUGCUUCC
ensembl:lncRNA